rnacentral:rRNA from 1 species
GGGUUGUGAGGUUAAGCGACUAAGCGUACACGGUGGAUGCCCUGGCAGUCAGAGGCGAUGAAGGACGUGCUAAUCUGCGAUAAGCGUCGGUAAGGUGAUAUGAACCGUUAUAACCGGCGAUUUCCGAAUGGGGAAACCCAGUGUGUUUCGACACACUAUCAUUACGUGAAUACAUAGCGUAAUGAAGCGAACCGGGGGAACUGAAACAUCUAAGUACCCCGAGGAAAAGAAAUCAACCGAGAUUCCCCCAGUAGCGGCGAGCGAACGGGGAGCAGCCCAGAGUCUGAAUCAGCAUGUGUGUUAGUGGAAGCGUCUGGAAAGUCGCACGAUACAGGGUGAAAGUCCCGUACACAAAAGUGCAUGUGUUGUGAACUCGAAGAGUAGGGCGGGACACGUGGUAUCCUGUCUGAAUAUGGGGGGACCAUCCUCCAAGGCUAAAUACUCCUGACUGACCGAUAGUGAACCAGUACCGUGAGGGAAAGGCGAAAAGAACCCCGGCGAGGGGAGUGAAAAAGAACCUGAAACCGUGUACGUACAAGCAGUGGGAGCACCCUUCGGGGUGUGACUGCGUACCUUUUGUAUAAUGGGUCAGCGACUUAUAUUCUGUAGCAAGGUUAACCGAAUAGGGGAGCCGAAGGGAAACCGAG